rnacentral:rRNA from 1 species
AUUGAACGCUGGCGGCGUGCCUAACACAUGCAAGUCGAGCGGCAGCGCGGGAGCAAUCCUGGCGGCGAGCGGCGGACGGGUGAGUAAUGCUUGGGAAUCUGCCUGUUAGUGGGGGACAACCCGGGGAGACUCGGGCUAAUACCGCAUACGCACUACGGGUGGAAAGCCGGGGACCGCAAGGCCUGGCGCUAACAGAUGAGCCCAAGUCGGAUUAGCUAGUUGGUAGGGAACGGCCUACCAAGGCGACGAUCCGUAACUGGUCUGAGAGGACGACCAGUCACACCGGAACUGAGACACGGUCCGGACUCCUACGGGAGGCAGCAGUGGGGAAUAUUGGACAAUGGGGGAAACCCUGAUCCAGCGACGCCGCGUGGGUGAAGAAGGCCUGCGGG